UCCAUGGCCCAGUCCCCUUUAUUCUGCUUUAUUCUGGCGUCCAUGCUUCCGCCAUUUCAGUACUCUUGGUUACGUUAGGUUAUGUUAAAUGAUAACGUGCGUAAGCACGCCGGUAUACAAGAAUUUGCUUUUCAUCGGGACUGUGUGUUAAGAUUUGGAAAGUUCCGUUUUGUGGCUCAAGAAUAUACAAACGUUAUACCGAAGCCAUUCAUAUAUACAGCCUGAUAUCGUUCUUCUGCGAACAACGUAUAGAAGAGAGAGAAGGGUAUUAUGGAAUACCAUUUACAUUUCUAAAAAUAACUACUGGUUUUUGAAAAAAAAUCCCAAAAUCAUCAUGAGUACAUACUAUAACUAAUUGUAAUGAACUGUCACUUGUAAAGAAAAUACUAAUUAAUUUUGUUGUUAUACAAAGAAAAUAAUUUCAAAAAAAUUUACAAAUGGAGGAUAAUAUGAAAUAGUCGGGUAAUGUAGAAUAAGUGGUUUAAACCAUUGAAAAACUAAUUCGACUUCAUAAAGCAGUUAUUUUUAAAUAUAAACACCAUGUUUUUAAGAUUA